CAGAGGGUGCGAGCGUUGUUCGGAAUUAUUGGGCGUAAAGAGCGCGUAGGCGGUCUGCUAAGUCUGGUGUGAAGCCCUCGGCUUAACCGGGAAGUGCAUUGGAUACUGGCAGGCUUGAGUGUGAGAGAGGAUCGUGGAAUUCCUGGUGUAGCGGUGAAAUGCGUAGAUAUCAGGAGGAACACCGGUGGCGAAGGCGCGAUCUGGAUCAUAACUGACGCUGAGGCGCGAAAGCGUGGGUAGCAAACAGGAUU
rnacentral:rRNA from 1 species